GUUGAACGCUGGCGGCAGGCCUAACACAUGCAAGUCGGACGAGCGGCGGACGGGUGAGUAAUGUAUGAGGAUCUGCCUGAUGUAGGGGGAUAAGUACUGGAAACGGUAGCUACUACCGCAUAGCAUCAGUUGCACCCAUAUGGGAUUAGCCAGUAGGUGAGGUAACGGCUUACCUAGGCGACGAUCCCUAGCUGGUCGGAGAGGAUGAUCAGCCACACUGGGACUGAGACACGGCCCAGACUCCUACGGGAGGCAGCAGUGGGGAAUAUUGCACAAUGGGCGAAAGCCUGACGCAGCCAUGCCGCGUGUAUGAAGAAGGCCUUCGGGUUGUAAAGUACUUUCAGUCGGGAGGCGUUACCGACAGAGGAAGCACCGGCUAACUACGUGCCAGCCGCCGCGGUAAUUC
rnacentral:rRNA from 1 species